CGAUAGCGUAUAUUAAAGUUGUUGCAGUUAAAAAGCUCGUAGUUGGACCUUGGACCUGGACAGGCGGUCCGCCUCACGGCGUGUACUGUCUUGCUGGGUCUUUCCUCUUGGUGAUCUGUUGUUUCGGCAGCAGGGAACCAGGACUUUUACUUUGAAAAAAUUAGAGUGUUCAAAGCAGGCUCGACGCCGGAAUAUAUUAGCAUGGAAUAAUAAAAUAGGACGUGCGGUUCUAUUUUGUUGGUUUUUGGAAUCGCCGUAAUGAUUAAUAGGGACAGUCGGGGGCAUUAGUACUCACAUGCUAGAGGUGAAAUUCUUGGAUUUUGUGAAGACUAACUUCUGCGAAAGCAUUUGCCAAGGAUGUUUUCAUUAA
rnacentral:rRNA from 1 species